rnacentral:rRNA from 1 species
CCUACGGGUGGCAGCAGUGAGGAAUAUUGGUCAAUGGACGCAAGUCUGAACCAGCCAUGCCGCGUGCGGGAAGACGGCUCUAUGAAUUGUAAACUGCUUUUGUACGAGGGUAAACGCAGGUACGCGUAUCUGUCUGAGAGUAUCGUACGAGUAAGGAUCGGCUAACUCCGUGCCAGCAGCCGCGGUAAUACGGAGGAUUCAAGCGUUAUCCGGAUUUAUUGGGUUUAAAGGGUGCGUAGGCGGUCGGAUAAGUUAGAGGUGAAAUCCCGAGGCUCAACUUCGGAAUUGCCUAUGAUACUGUGCGGCUAGAGAGUAGGUGCGGUAGGCGGAAUGCAUGGUGUAGCGGUGAAAUGCUUAGAGAUCAUACAGAACACCGAUUGCGAAGGCAGCUUACCAAGCUACUUCUGACGUUGAGGCACGAAAGCGUGGGGAGCAAACAGGAUUAGAUACCCCUGUAGUC